rnacentral:lncRNA from 1 species
GGGACUUCCUGGUUGGAGAGGGGAAGAGAGGAAGCAGGAGAGAGUUAGGUCCUUUUUGGAUGGGGAUACCAUGAGUACAAGAUGUAACCAGAGGACAAGAUGUAGCUCCGAGUGUCUCAAAAGUUUCAAUGGUGGAUCUGCCAGGAGUAGCCACUGGAGGAUUUAGAUUUAAUAAGGCUUACAAGCUUAGCAUUUUAGUUGUUGUGUCCAGCGAUUGAGUUUCCGUCGUUUUUGAACUAAGUUUGUGUUGUGUUUUCCUUCACGAGGCGGCUCGUCUGGGUUCAAGAGAGAAAGUCUAUGAUUGUCCUUCUGAUGUCCUGACCAACCCUUCCACAGAGGAGAAUUAUACAGAAAUGUUACUACAAGGAAGUAGGGCUCGUUUGGACCCGUCUUGGAAGUCACCCACCCAGAGCACUCAGAUAUAUUUUCCGAGAAGUGAUGGACUGCUCUGAUGAGUCGUAAGCACUGUGAACUCGGUCCACUCCGUCUCAUCUACCAUGAGAACCUCGGUAUCUAGCAAUGCCAAAUACUUUAUAACAUUAGUGCUUUCAUUCCGGGGGACUGUAGAUGAAAGUAUUCUACUUUUAUUGUAUCUCAACUCUUAAUAUGGGUAUUGUAAAAUGACUAUGAAAUUAAGUAAUUUUAGAACCACAGAGAACAUGUGUUACUAAAGCUCUCCCACAGGGUCACCCCCAAGCAAAAUCAAGGAGCUAAGAAAGUUUCUUACUUCUCACACGCCCCUGCAUCCCUCCCCUGCUCCAUUGCCCUGUGUGUGCACUAUUCAGCUCAAUAAGGAGGGACACUUGUCAUGCAGGGUGUACUUUUACAUACCUUGAAAGUGCCACUUGGAGAUAAUGAUCAUGUACAAAUGAAUAUCUCAUUCAAAGUUAAUAAAAGCAAAAAAAAAAAGAGUCCCCCUUACUUUAAAUAUAUACAUCACUAAAACUUUGUUUGAAUAUCUGGUAAAAUUGUUUUCUAGUAAGGAGCUGAGGUGUAUGAAAAUCCUCGAGGCUAGAAUAUCUGUUGUGGAAAGAUUAUUGGGUAUCUAGAUACCCCUGAGGGCAGAGAUUACCAUGCCUCAACAUCAACUCACCUGAAGAGCGUAUGUACUGAGUGGAAGGACAAUCAGAGCAUGCUUGUGCGUUUACCUCAUGUUUCCUGAGCACUUCCUUAGUGCCAGACUUGGUUAGUGAUGUUGACCUAUCUAUACCUCUUGGGGUUUGCUCAAAUAUCUUCAUUUCAAUGAAAGUUAGACUGACACCAUACUAAAACCUGUAGUGAGAUAUUGGAGUAAACUAAAGUCCAAGCAGCUGGGCACACAUGUGAGGAAUUUCUAAAAGCAGAUCAUUUGAGAUGAAAAGACGAGACCCGCCCUAAAUCCGGACCAUGCCUCUGGUGGCCGCCUGUAUGAAAGGACAUAGAUGGAAGCUUUUGCUUUUUGCCUCCUUGCCCUCACUCUCACUGGCAAGCUCAUCUACUGUGCUGCUGAGGCUGCUCCUUCGCUGGUGUUAGGACCUACUUCUUCAUGAUUCCAGAGGAGACUGAAGACUAGAUGAGACAUCCAGCACCAUGAACUAAAUGACUAUCAGAUUCUUGGAUUUUCCAUUAGGAGAUAAAUCAUUAUUGAACUAGCCAAUUGAAGACUGUAAGCCACUUAAUAAAUCCCCUUUUACAUAUGUAUAUUUAUACAUAAAUAUAUAUUAUAUAUGUUUAUUUUAUCAGUUCUGUUCCUCUAGAGAACUGGCUUAUACACAUGUCUUAUUUUUCAAUACAUUACAGUUUAUUUCUCUAUUGACUUUUAUGUUGUUGUUUCCUCCAACCCCAAAUUGAUACUAAAAUUUCAGCUCUACAAUUACA